rnacentral:rRNA from 1 species
AUACUGAGGGUGCGAGCGUUAAUCGGAAUUACUGGGCGUAAAGCGCGCGUAGGCGGUAAGUUAAGUUGGAUGUGAAAUCCCUGGGCUCAACCCAGGAACUGCAUUCAAAACUGGCUCACUAGAGGAUGGUAGAGGCAAGUGGAAUUCCAGGUGUAGCGGUGAAAUGCGUAGAUAUCUGGAGGAACAUCAGUGGCGAAGGCGACUUGCUGGGCCAAUACUGACGCUGAGGUGCGAAAGCGUGGGUAGCAAACGGGAUUAGAAACCCUAGUAGUCC